ACCUUUUGUAACCAUCAUGUGCUUUGGAUAAAUAGGGAAAGUAAUUACUUUAGACUAGGGCAUGGAGAAAUAAAGUGAAUCUCUCAGUUGUUCAAUGAGGAGAUAAAGCCACAGACUUGACAGCACGCAUUUUUAAAGAAAUAGUAUUUGAGCUCGCAAAGAAUAGCAAAGCUAGGGAUUUCUUGAUACUAAGCCAUUUGUGAAAUAGCUAGUUACGUUCCUUAAUCCUAUAAUUAUCUACUCAAUAUUAACGAAACCGGUGAGCCAGCUGUCAGCCUCCAAGAUGUCAUGGAAUUGGGAACAACAAACACCAUAGAAUAAAGCUUUAAUUUGGUGAAUCAAUUAUUUUGAUUGAAUGAGGGCACUGAGAUUCUACUGGGUAAAUGUUAUUAUGAAGCAAAUCAAUACAAUAAAUAUAUAUAUAUAUAUAUAUAUAUAAAUAAAUAACACACAUAUAUUCAAGAGCAGUCUGACUGACUCUGAGAACUGUCACUAGUCCGGUAGAUCCCCAACUGCUGGUUCUUAAGACGACAGAACCUGGAAAAUAUGUCCAGUUGACCUCCUGAGCCACCUCUAUCCUGCUUGCUGCUCUGGGUCUGAGAGGCUGGUCUUUAUGGAUGGGAACUGCGUUCCUUGUCGUCUGGCUACCCACUGGGUUUGGCCAAUGGGAAACGCCAACAGAAUAUCAGAGAGGAGGAAAAGAAGGAGGUCAUGCUAUUGUUUCUUUGGGCUCCCUUCUUGGUGGCUGUAGAGUUGACAGGAGUUGUUUUGCAUUUCCAAAGGCCAGAGCCCCUGUUGUGAAGCCAUCUAUGAUAGUUACAGAAUUAUCUACAGCUUUCUUCAUUUUCUGGUAACUGGCUCUCUCGAAAUGAUAACUUUCACUGUUGCUAGCAUUGUCUUUCAUCAGCCUCUUGGGUCCAGGAAACCUGCCCAUAUCUUUGCAAAUAAUCCCUUCGUUAAACUCCCCUCCAACACCCUAUUUAAGAGUGCCUUGUGUUUCCUGCCUGGAUUCUGACUGCUACCAAAUUACAAUCAUACCCUGGCACUCUUUGGUUUCAGAACUCAUCCAACCCUGUACUCAUCACAUUUUGAUGAGGGGAAAAAAUAGUUUCAGCACUCGGUGCUCACUUGGGACUCUGUCACACUUGCUAGAACUUGUAUGAGUCGCUACACCCUCCCUCAGGAGA